CAGACAACAAAUAGACAAGUCAAAUUCUUUUGCGAGCGGAAAUAUAGCGCCUGACGCGAGACUAACCAAAACAGAUUUUACGGACUGCCCUAGGAGCAAGAGUCCGUGCUAGCACAAAGUCAGCUAAAUCAUAACCAACCAACCAACCAAAACAGAGGUUAGACCAUGGUCACAACACAAUCACGCGUUCGUUGACGGAUGGAAAGGUAUACAUACAUAUAAAUCGAUCUACACGAAUCGACUGAAGCUAUGGUUCAUAUGGCUGAAAUGCUGACAUUGUAAUGCAUGUGGUAAUAAUGAUAUAUCAACAUAAUAAUAAUAUGAAUGAAAACCUAUGUACAAAAGAUGCGUGACGUAUGCUGCAGUUUUUGUAUAAGCCCGUUUGGGCACGGGUUUUGGGGGCUGAGAUGUUUGUUACCAUGAGAUUAGCUGGCCAAGUGAGAUGAGGGUGUGUGUGGGUCCGCGAGAGACCCUAAAAAGAAUGAUAAGAUCAAGGAAAUUUAAUCUAAAUAAAACCUCGUUAAAAAGGCUAAACCUAAUUUCAGUUCCAAAUCUGCUGAGAAAUGGACUAAAUACAGUUUAGUUUGGGUUUGCUUUCUCUCGAAAGCUCAAGGUUAUCCUCCAGUCAGUAAUCAAAGAAUGGUUCUCAAACUAAACCCUAGUGACUAACAGACUAAUACAGUUAUGCCUACCAAUAUAUAAAGCCAGUAAUAGGCUGAAAACAGCGUUGAAGUUCAGGCUAGCUCUCUCUUCAGAGCAUUCAAAAAAUCUGUCAUAGUAAUACAGAUGAAACCUUGGUUCUCGCAUCAAACUCUUGUGACUAACAAACUAAAUACUGCAGAACCCAUUGCUAGAGGGAUGACCUUAAAAAAAACACUAAUAAAUUGCCUCAAUACCACAGCAGAAAAAAAAUUCAGCUCUUGUGCCAAACUCUGAAAAUUAAUGGAAUCACAGGCAAAAAAAGUGAUGAAAUCACAAAAAGGGUAGUGAAGCCCAGCCACAAGAGACAGAUAUGGAGUCAGGGGAUACAGAGGAAAGGGUAGGGAGGGCGUAGGGCUUUACUCACCCUGAUAAAUUAUGAUGAAAGCGAAGAGUACAGGUAGGAGUCUUUUCUUAAUCGUUAUAGAAAGCAAGUGUCAUUAUGAUAUGAAUAUUGAAUAGACUUAUGCCCUGAAAAGAAUUACGAGUUACUUUUAUGAAAGUCUAUCCAUCAUGUGUUGUAUUUUAAACUUCCAUGAAAGACAAGUAAGAGAAUGGAGUCGGAAUUAAAUAUAAUACAAAACUUGCGAUUUCAAGGAUAUUCAUAGAUCGCAUUCGGUCAUGUUCAAAGAAGCAAGACAUUACAAGAUUUUAGAGUCCUUGGCAAAUGAAAAUAUCGUCUGAGGACUGAGUGUGGAGUGGACAGUUUUGGGUGGUAGACGUCUAACGGGAGUUUGCUUAGUAAUUCUUUUUCAUUCAGAAAUGGCGUAUUCGAUUCCUCCUUAAUCUAUUGUAUCGUGAUUGGUUUUGUUGUGAAGCGUUUCCAUAAGGACAGUUGAACACGCGACUCGACUACAGUUGGCGCUGAAGAUUUCCAUCGAUUGUCACUCCGUUGUCAAGUGAUAAUAAACCCCGGGCUUCUGUAAGGUCACAAAUUGCUGGAGGAACCAGAAUUCAAGAAAAUGUGCAGACACGGGGUGGAUUUGCGAACCUUUCACUGUUCGGCUGACAUUUCUAGAUGUCGACAAGAUUGAUGAAGUCUUCAAUUUAAUUUCUAAACUUGUCAGGCUGCGUUUUUCAUUAAAAGACAAGUUUAGUUAGGUUCCUCGGAUAUUCUACAUUGGUAAAUCUACUAUUUGUCUGUGUAUUUUAAUUGUUUUUUUAGUUAAUAAAGAAUGGGUUUAGUU